rnacentral:rRNA from 3 species
UAGAUCAGAAUGCUACGGUGAAUACGUUCCCGGGCCUUGUACACACCGCCCGUCACACCAUGGGAGUGGGUUGCAAAAGAAGUAGGUAGCUUAACCUUCGGGAGGGCGCUUACCACUUUGUGAUUCAUGACUGGGGUGAAGUCGUAACAAGGUAACCGUAGGGGAACCUGCGGUUGGAUCACCUCCUUACCUUAAAGAA